CCGGCCUAUGCGAGCUGCUGCUGCUGCUGUGAUGGUGGUGGUGGAAGAAGCGAGAUGCCAGUGGGAAGUGUGGGAGUGCUUGACGACUUCGUCCUGUGGGGUCCUUCAGCGCAGCCGUCGCUUUUAAAGGCCGGGAAGAGCACCGCAGCCAUCAGUGCCGCCGUCCCACAUCAAAAGGCGGAGCAGAAAAGGUCCUUGCAAAGUGCGAAGCAAGCGGCAGGCGAGAAGGCGUGGCGAUGGCUUGCUGGUUGAAGACUUACGCCGGCGUGGGAACCAAAAGCAGGAGAAAUGAUGGAGCAAAAAAGCAAUGAUCGGGCACGUGUGCGUCUGCUCAGCGGAUUUCGACAUCACACGGCCGUGGUGGCAUGGGAACGCAUUCAUCCAACAGUGGACCGAUGAUGGUGGAAAAAUAACUGAGAUUCUCCCUGGACUCGCUCUCUCAUCCGGUGCCGAUGACGAACUCGUUGAUGUAUGGAAUUGAAGCCCCCACCACCCAUCCCGGUUUGCUGUGGUCUUCUUGGGGCGGGCAUGUUGACGGGUGAGGGCUGACCCAUCAUGGCUAGCUAUUGGAAUGUGGGAAACAACUUAUGCCGACGUAAACACGUGGGCGAAACAGAACACUUAAUAAAGGUGUUUAUUAUUUUUUAUUUGGGGAGGCUGGGGGUUAGAUCGCGUAAAUAUAAAUGUCGGUUAAACCCGACACCACCCGACAUAGCCAAUUCGUAAGAUUUGCCACGUAAACAAUGUGCCAAUUAGUUUACUAGUUCAGCUCACCGGUGUGUGGGAGAGUAAACCCGCAUCACUUACAAUUAGCAAACCAAACAGAGCACACAGAUCACGGUGGAAGUUGGCCAUUAUAGAAACGACGCUCGGUGCAUUUAGUUUAAAACUCUUUUUUUUAAACGCUGUACAACAACAAAAACACACGCAAGAGGCCAUUCUCAUUCAAAUGCCGCCCGCCUAUCACGGUCGCUCACGACUUUGCAUGCCGCGAAUAUCCACAUGAAACGGCACUGCGCGGCUAUUUAAAUGUAAAUACUAAAAAGCGAUUAGUGGCUCACUUGCAAAGAGUGUAAUGUACGUAGCCAACCGUGCUAAUCGGAGGUGCGCGGGAAGGACAACACAUUUGAAACUCAAUAACAAUUUAAUGAUCAUCAAUUAGCAUUUAACGAUGUACUUUAACGUUGGGUUGAAUGAAAUAUAAAAUGGCUCGUCACGAAUGUGCAGAUUUGAUGAUGGCCCUGAAUUAGCUCUACCCUAAUGUGCAAAUUGUCUGUAAUCUAAGGAGGCUUGGUGGCACCGUUAACCACGGAGUCAGUUUACACACUCGACGAUUUGAUUAAUACUACAGCUGCAUUAGGGAAUUCAAAUCUAAUAAAAUACCACGUGAUCAUUACCAAUGGCUAUUGUGUGCCCCUGCCAGUGCACAACACGAACCACACAUUUGGAAAUACUCUUACGACAGUAUUGUGUAACCACGGUACAGCAGUAAUGCACUUGCCCAGAACAAAAUCCCGCUGCACCUCGACUCAUGUUUCAGCCAGGUUCAUGCUUGGAAUGUUGAUUUUGUGUCGAACAAAUUGGAGGGCUAAGAGGAAACCCACGCUUAGCAGGGGGGGAACAAGCGACUAUAAAACUAUCCAGAUAGUUAACGUCUCAAUGCUAAUUGGCUGAGUGAUGAGUCGCACAAAAUAAUAUCUAUUUUAACAUUACAGAGCGUGGGGUCAUGCGAUUAGCCCAGCCGUCUGUGUCCCCAGUCGCCGAUGCUUACACAUCACACCCGGGUACUCGUUUAUGGUGGAGUCUUGCCACGGGAUGGUGUUACUCGUGUCGCGUCGAGUCGUAGCAUGGUGAGCGAAACACCGAUUCAACACGCCACGCAAACUACCCCCACAUUCACGCGCAUCGUGACGAUGAUGUGGCAACCAGCAAGCACAAGACGCGUUUGCGUGCAGUCGGGAAGGUGUGUCCACUCCCCACCAAAUGGUGAAGGGCGCGGGACGUGGGUUGUUCGCUCACGACCCGCCUCAUUUGAGACGCAAGCUCGGAGCUCUGGCACAAGCACGGUUCUUGAGAAUGAUUUCUUGCGAGACAACACGAACGAAAACAUUUAGACGGGGCAUUUUGACGUCAGGGCCAAAACCACUCGAACCAGAUUUUCCAAACAAAAGCCACUCGGUACCAAACUUGUUUUUCUCUAAAUGUUUGCGUUUCUAUUUAAUGUGUGUAAUAGAACCUCAUGGCGGGACCCCGGGGUCCCGAAUAAAAUCUUUAAAAUGUAUUUCUUUUUGGCGACUCCGUCCCACCGCGCACACAAACGCCGCGACCCGCCUGGCGCGGAUCAUUCUGUUG